AGAGAUCUGGAGGAAUACCGGUGGCGAAGGCGGCCCCCUGGACGAAGACUGACGCUCAGGUGCGAAAGCGUGGGGAGCAAACAGGAUUAGAUACCCUGGUAGUCCACGCCGUAAACGAUGUCGACUUGGAGGUUGUGCCCUUGAGGCGUGGCUUCCGGAGCUAACGCGUUAAGUCGACCGCCUGGGGAGUACGGCCGCAAGGUUAAAACUCAAAUGAAUUGACGGGGGCCCGCACAAGCGGUGGAGCAUGUGGUUUAAUUCGAUGCAACGCGAAGAACCUUACCUGGUCUUGACAUCCACGGAAGUUUUCAGAGAUGAGAAUGUGCCUUCGGGAACCGUGAGACAGGUGCUGCAUGGCUGUCGUCAGCUCGUGUUGUGAAAUGUUGGGUUAAGUCCCGCAACGAGCGCAACCCUUAUCCUUUGUUGCCAGCGGUCCGGCCGGGAACUCAAAGGAGACUGCCAGUGAUAAACUGGAGGAAGGUGGGGACGACGUCAAGUCAUCAUGGCCCUUACGACCAGGGCUACACACGUGCUACAAUGGCGCAUACAAAGAGAAGCGACCUCGCGAGAGCAAGCGGACCUCAUAAAGUGCGUCGUAGUCCGGAUUGGAGUCUGCAACUCGACUCCAUGAAGUCGGAAUCGCUAGUAAUCGUGGAUCAGAAUGCCACGGUGAAUACGUUCCCGGGCCUUGUACACACCGCCCGUCACACCAUGGGAGUGGGUUGCAAAAGAAGUAGGUAGCUUAACCUUCGGGAGGGCGCUUACCACUUUGUGAUUCAUGACUGGGGUGAAGUCGUAACAAGGUAACCGUAGGGGAACCUGCGGUUGGAUCACCUCCUUACCUUAAAGAAGC
rnacentral:rRNA from 1 species